rnacentral:rRNA from 1 species
AGAGUUUGAUCCUGGCUCAGGACGAACGCUGGCGGCGCGCUUAACACAUGCAAGUCGAGCGAGAACCGGGACUUCGGUCCCGGGGACAGCGGCGAACGGGUGAGUAACACGUGGGUAAUCUGCCCUCGAUUCUGGGAUAGCCCGGGGAAACCCGGAUUAAUACCGGAUAGCCUUUCGAGCUUUCGGGCUUGAAAGAAAAGGUAGCUUCGGCCUCCGAUCGAGGAUGAGCCCGCGGUGGAUUAGCUUGUUGGCGGGGUAAUGGCCCACCAAGGCGACGAUCCAUAGCUGGUCUGAGAGGACGAUCAGCCACACUGGGACUGAGACACGGCCCAGACUCCUACGGGAGGCAGCAGUGGGGAAUCUUGCGCAAUGGGCGAAAGCCUGACGCAGCGACGCCGCGUGGGGGAAGAAGGCCUUAGGGUUGUAAACCUCUUUCAGGUGGGACGAAGCCACUCGGGUUAAUAGCCCAGAGGGUGACGGUACCGCCAGAAGAAGCCCCGGCUAACUACGUGCCAGCCGCCGCGGUAAUUC